UUAGCAACACUUUAAGGUAUUUCCCCAGCUUUAAACAUUGCAAAUUUUAAGAGUAUAAAAUGUUCCAUUACAACCGAACUUAGCUCUUCCUUACUUGUUACUCCUGUAAGACUUGGUCGGUGGUUUGACGGUUUUUUUCGGUUGAAAUUCGUGUAAAGGAAAGUCAACUCAGGUAUGAAAUACCUUCAAUGGAGGUACAAUUAUUGUUGUACAUACAUACAUAUAUCCAUUUUUUUAAUUCAUAGAGGCAUCCAUAUUUGUACAUGUAUUAGUAAACAUUGAUGAUGAACUACUCGCGCCGAGAAAUACUCCAGAGAUUAAAUAAUACAGGGAACCAAAAUUUUUCAAGCCACGAAAUUCGAACGUGCCAAAUUACCAACGGCUUACUGCAUCAACCCUCAUGCGUUCGGAACAUUUGCUGCGCAUGUGUGGUUAGCCAACACCAUAGUUGGCUAUGCUAUACAUCAUAGUACAUACAUACAUUGUUGUCUUCUUCGUGUACAUAUGGCUGAGCUGUGUACGAACGUGUUGUGAGCCUUGUGCGCAAGCGGGUCCAAUGUUCUACAUAAAUAUAUAAACUAAAUAUGUACUUAAAAAUAAUUUUCCUUUGCCAUGUACAGUUAUAUCGUUUAUGGUGCUUGUUGGGACUCAGGCUCCCAUUUCUUUCAUGGUAGAGAAUUUUCAACCGUCCGGCUAAAUUUCAUAGUGCGAUACGAGGGGUUUAGCUGCUGACGUUAAACGACGAGAUAAUUAAGUCGAGGCAUGAUGCAGCGAAAGAAUAUUAAAAAGACUUUUAAGCAAUUUAAAUUAGGAUGGCUAUUUGGCAUUCCUGUUGGCGUUAUCGACAUUUAUCGAAAAUAAAUUCGUAUUCCCCAUUUUGAAACGAAUAUGGUAACUACAUGGUAACAAUCGUUCCUUGUCAUUGUAGUAAUUUAGAGCGACAUAGAAACGAGUGCGAUUAUGUGAAGUGAAUAUGCAAAUUUCUAACACGAAGCAGUUUGAAAUUUGAGUGUCCGAAAUGGAAAAAAAAAUCCUAUCCUGCCCGACAAAUUUUCCAAACGAGAUAAGGUGAGAACCAGAUAAAAUAUUAAGUGGUUACGUAAAGUAUGAAAGAUUUGAGUUAUAUCCACAUUUCUUUCAAUUUAUAUGACGGAAAGGAGCACUAAACCCCUCUUCUUAAAGAUAGAAUAAAAUAGAUGAUAAUGAGAAAUGUUUCUACAGUGGAGAUGAUCCCGCCAAGAGAUGAAGACUGCGGUCGAACAUUCUAAAGUAGUUAUAGAGCAGAACGCAAAGUUAUCGAGUAAAGAAAUAGGGAAUCGAAGAUAGCUACGGUUAUAGUAUUUUCAAAUUGAUGUCUCUUCUAUAACAUGGAGGCAGAAACUACCGAUCAACUUCUGGAAUACGUAGUACUCUAUUGAAAAAGUAAAAUCAAAACAAGCACUUCUUAAACCUGAAACGCAAAUCAUCUCUUUCUAAAUUGCCGAGUUUAGAUGAGACAUUAUAAAAACUGUGUGCUGUGUUUAUUCUAGCCGAGGGUUACAUAAUGAUAGUUUCGGAUCUCUUCCAAGACAGACGGGCGAAUAUUUGACGUCCCGCUCAAUUACCGCCACUCUUUUGCUCUAAAUUUUUUUAGAAAUUGUGGACAACAAAGAUUUUAUCUGUCUCAGCUAAUUGACCUGUUUGUAUGUAAUGAGAAAGUACAUAUUUUAGAGAAAAGCAAUGCUUAAACAACGAGAGCAAAUCGAAGACGCCUGUUAUAGCUCAAACAGUCACCGGAAGGGAGGAAUUCAGCUGAUCAGCUAUCUUGAGAGAGCGCAAUGUAAAUGAACACUCAACACGGCUUCUACCGUCCGCUUCUACAGACUGUACAAUAGGAUAUUCGUGAAAGUUGGAUUUUCCCGUAAAAAGGAGUGAGCUGAGAGUGAGAGAACAAUCUCUUGUAACACAGGGCUGCCAAUAUCGAUAUUUUGUAG